GACCUUGAAAUACCACCCUUUAAUGUUUGAUGUUCUAACGUUGACCCGUAAUCCGGGUUGCGGACAGUGUCUGGUGGGUAGUUUGACUGGGGCGGUCUCCUCCUAAAGAGUAACGGAGGAGCACGAAGGUUGGCUAAUCCUGGUCGGACAUCAGGAGGUUAGUGCAAUGGCAUAAGCCAGCUUGACUGCGAGCGUGACGGCGCGAGCAGGUGCGAAAGCAGGUCAUAGUGAUCCGGUGGUUCUGAAUGGAAGGGCCAUCGCUCAACGGAUAAAAGGUACUCCGGGGAUAACAGGCUGAUACCGCCCAAGAGUUCAUAUCGACGGCGGUGUUUGGCACCUCGAUGUCGGCUCAUCACAUCCUGGGGCUGAAGUAGGUCCCAAGGGUAUGGCUGUUCGCCAUUUAAAGUGGUACGCGAGCUGGGUUUAGAACGUCGUGAGACAGUUCGGUCCCUAUCUGCCGUGGGCGCUGGAGAACUGAGGGGGGCUGCUCCUAGUACGAGAGGACCGGAGUGGACGCAUCACUGGUGUUCGGGUUGUCAUGCCAAUGGCACUGCCCGGUAGCUAAAUGCGGAAGAGAUAAGUGCUGA
rnacentral:rRNA from 1 species